AUACGGCCAUAUCAUGUCCAAACACCGGUUCCCGUACGAUAACCGAAGUUAGACAACGUCGAGCCUGGUCAUUACCUAGAUGGGUAACUGCUUGGAUAUACCGGGUGCUGUAAG